GACGAACGCUGGCGGCGUGCUUAACACAUGCAAGUCGAACGGAAAGGCCCUGCUUUUGUGGGGUGCUCGAGUGGCGAACGGGUGAGUAACACGUGAGUAACCUGCCCUUGACUUUGGGAUAACUUCAGGAAACUGGGGCUAAUACCGGAUAGGAGCUCCUGCUGCAUGGUGGGGGUUGGAAAGUUUCGGCGGUUGGGGAUGGACUCGCGGCUUAUCAGCUUGUUGGUGGGGUAGUGGCUUACCAAGGCUUUGACGGGUAGCCGACAUGAGAGGGUGACCGGCCACAUAGGGACUGAGAUUCGGCCUAGAGUCCUACGUAAGACAGCAGUGGCGAAUAUUGCCCAAUGGGAGGAAGCCUGAUGCAUCAAGGCCGCGUGCGGUAUGACGGCCUUCGGGUUGUAUACCGCUUUCGCCUGUGACGAAGCGUGAGUGACGGUAAUGGGUAAAAAAGCACCGGCUAACUACGUG
rnacentral:rRNA from 1 species